AUCGCUUUUCCUGCCUUUUGGCUAAGAUAAAGCAUAGUUAUCUGUUCUCAUCAGUUUAACAUCUGAUACAUCCUCUGUCUGAGGACCAUAUGUUAAGUGGAUUUUUGGAGCCGGGAGAUAGGAUAGGAACUUGCUCCAUCCACUCAUCAACCUGGUAUUGCAGUACCUCUAGGAACAGUGCACCUUUU